UGGUGACAUCACUGAAGAUUCUACGGCGC
rnacentral:piRNA from 1 species